rnacentral:rRNA from 1 species
GACGAACGCUGGCGGCGUGCCUAAUACAUGCAAGUUGAGCGCUGAAGGUUGGUACUUGUACCAACUGGAUGAGCAGCGAACGGGUGAGUAACGCGUGGGGAAUCUGCCUUUGAGCGGGGGACAACAUUUGGAAACGAAUGCUAAUACCGCAUAAAAACUUUAAACACAAGUUUUAAGUUUGAAAGAUGCAAUUGCAUCACUCAAAGAUGAUCCCGCGUUUUAUUAGCUAGUUGGUGAGGUAAAGGCUCACCAAGGCGAUGAUACAUAGCCGACCUGAGAGGGUGAUCGGCCACAUUGGGACUGAGACACGGCCCAAACUCCUACGGGAGGCAGCAGUAGGGAAUCUUCGGCAAUGGACGAAAGUCUGACCGAGCAACGCCGCGUGAGUGAAGAAGGGUUUCGGAUCGUAAAACUCUGUUGGUAGAGAAGAACGUUGGUGAGAGUGGAAAGCUCAUCAAGUGACGGUAACUACCCAGAAAGGGACGGCUAACUACGUG